rnacentral:rRNA from 1 species
CCUACGGGUGGCAGCAGUGAGGAAUAUUGGUCAAUGGGCGGAAGCCUGAACCAGCCAAGUAGCGUGCGGGAUGAAGGCCCUACGGGUCGUAAACCGCUUUUGCACGGGGAUAACACCCUCCACUUGUGGAGGUCUGCAGGUACCGUGCGAAUACGGGCCGGCUAAUUCCGUGCCAGCCGCCGCGGUAAUCCGGAGGGCCCGAGCGUUAUCCGGAUUCAUUGGGCUUAAAGGGAGCGUAGGCGGGCGUUCAAGUCAGCGGUAAAAUCGGGCGGCUAACCCCCGGCCCGCAGUUGAAACUGGAUGGCUGGAGUACACAACAGGCAGGCGGAAUUCGUGGUGUAGCGGUGAAAUGCAUAGAGAUCACGAGGAACCCCGAUUGCGAAGGCAGCCUGCCGGAGUGCGACUGACGUUGAGGCUCGAAGGUGCGGGUAGCAAACAGGAUUAGAUACCCGGGUAGUC